UCGAGAAUUUUCUGCAAUGGGCGCAAGCCUGACAGAGCGACGCCGCGUGCGGGAUGAAGGCCUUCGGGUUGUAAACCGCUGUCAGUGGGGAGCAAAUUACCAGGGGUUCUCCCCUGGUAUUGAGCAAUCCGCAGAGGAAGCUCGGGCUAAGUUCGUGCCAGCAGCCGCGGUAAGACGAACCGAGCAAGCGUUAUUCGGAAUCACUGGGCUUAAAGAGUCCGUAGGCGGCGCGUUAGGUGGGGUGUGAAAUCCCUCGGCCCAACCGAGGAAUGGCGCUCCAAACCGGCGUGCUUGAGGAAGGUAGAGGUGAGCGGAACUGAUGGUGGAGCGGUGAAAUGCGUUGAUAUCAUCAGGAACACCGGAGGCGAAGGCGGCUCACUGGGCCUUUUCUGACGCUGAGGGACGAAAGCCAGGGUAGCGAACGG
rnacentral:rRNA from 1 species